ensembl:snRNA U4 U4 spliceosomal RNA
AGCUUUGCGCAGUGGCAGUAUCGUAGCCAAUGAGGUUUAUCCAAGGCGCAAUUAUUGCUAAUUGAAAGAGAAAGAACAUCAAAAUUUCCUAUUGAACAACAGUUCAUUUAUAUUUUAAAAUUCAAACAGUAA